rnacentral:rRNA from 1 species
UACGUAGGGGGCAAGCGUUGUCCGGAUUUAUUGGACGUAAAGAGCGUGUAGGCGGCCAGACAGGUCCGUUGUGAAAACUCGAGGCUCAACCUCGAGAUGUCGAUGGAAACCGUCUGGCUAGAGUCCGGAAGAGGAGUGUGGAAUUCCUGGUGUAGCGGUGAAAUGCGCAGAUAUCAGGAAGAACACCUAUGGCGAAGGCAGCACUCUGGGACGGUACUGACGCUGAGACGCGAAAGCGUGGGGAGCGAACAGG